rnacentral:rRNA from 1 species
GGACUACACGGGUUUCUAAUCCCGUUCGCUCCCCUAGCUUUCGUCCCUGAGCGUCAGAGACUUCCCAGGAUGCUGCCUUCGCCUUUGGUGUUCCUCCGGAUAUCUACGCAUUUCACCACUCCACCCGGAAUUCCGCAUCCCUCUGAAGCCCUCAAGUCUGGCAGUUUCCAACGCACUUUCCCAGUUGAGCCAGGAACUGUCACGUCAAACUUACCAAACCGCCUGCGGACCCUUUACGCCCAAUAAAUCCGGACAACGCUUGCCCCCUACGUAUUACCGCGGCUGCUGGCAC